rnacentral:lncRNA from 1 species
CCCCUUGCCAUAUUUAAUGACCGGUCCCUAAAUUAAUUAUAAUGUAUAAACAAAGGUAUUAUUUAUAAAUAAAAAGACUUUAGUCACUCUUCAUCGUAUGCCGCUGCAUCCUCGGUUCUUAAAUGAUGCCAGUCUUCUGGCAUUAUUCCAUUGGGCCACUGUGUGGUCUUCCAGGUAUAGAAGGAUGCCCAAAAGUCCUUCAAUUUUUUGGCCUCAUCAAGCGAGACCUCUCUGAUGAAGUUGCG